AGCAGCCGCGGUAAUUCCAGCUCCAAUAGCGUAUAUUAAAGUUGUUGCAGUUAAAAAGCUCGUAGUUGAAUUUCGGGAUCAAUGCGUCGGUCGUGCCUUCGGUACGUACUAGCGUCAUUGAUUCCUCCCUUCUGAAGAACCGUGAUGUCAUUAAUUUGGUGUUACGGGGAAUCAGGACUGUUACCUUGAAAAAUUAGAGUGUUUAAAGCAGGCUAACGCUUGAAUACAUUAGCAUGGAAUAAUGAAAUAGGACGUUCGAACCUAUUUUGUUGGUUUCUAGGAUCGACGUAAUGAUUAAUAGGGAUAGUUGGGGGCAUUAGUAUUCAAUUGUCAGAGGUGAAAUUCUUGGAUUUAUUGAAGACUAACUACUGCGAAAGCAUUUGCCAAGGAUGUUUUCAUUAAUCAAGAACGAAAGUUAGGGGAUCGAAGACGAUCAGAUACCGUCGCAGUCUUAACCAUAAACUAUGCCGAC
rnacentral:rRNA from 1 species